rnacentral:rRNA from 1 species
UACAGAGGUCCCAAGCGUUGUUCGGAUUCACUGGGCGUAAAGGGUGCGUAGGCGGUCGGGUAAGUCUGAUGUGAAAUCUCCAAGCUCAACCUGGAAAUGGCAUCGGAUACUAUUCGGCUCGAGGAAUGGAGGGGAGACUGGAAUACUUGGUGUAGCAGUGAAAUGCGUAGAUAUCAAGUGGAACACCAGUGGCGAAGGCGAGUCUCUGGACAUUUCCUGACGCUGAGGCACGAAAGCCAGGGGAGCAAACGGG